AAAGAAAAACACGAACCUCUCUCGUGCACACGCACCCACGCGCACCCAUACACACACAGACACUCACACACACACACACACUCCGAUCGAUUUGCAUGUGACUCCGUCAGUGAAUGAGCGAGAAUCGACUCAAAAACAACGCUUCAAAGAGCCAAAGAAGCUAUGAAAAAUAAAAAAAGCGAAAAGAUGGAGAAAGUGGGGUAAAGAGGGGGAAAGAGUGGCUGGAGGAGCUGAGGCAGGGCGGAGGGACCGACUGCACGUCUCACACACCGAGACGUGUCGGAGAAUCACAAAAAAAAAAAUCUCUUUAUCCAGAAGAGGAUUUGAAAAGCACACGACGCUGCCGAAGCCCCCUUUGGAUGUGGCUAAGUGUCAAAAUCUGUCAAAAUUAAGAGCGCGAGAGACGUGUGCCUUCCACCGGACGCUCGCGGACCCACAGGCUGGACUUGGAGCUCCUUUCCUGGGCAGCGCUCAUGUGGAGCAGCCGCUGCUCUCCGUCCGCUCCACACAGACCCCCCUUCUUCUAACUGCAUUUGUGCCUUAAAAACACGCUUCCAGACCACCAUAAGCCCUCUAAACCUUCCCCCGAUCCCACCGAAAAGCAGGCAUUUGUUUCAAAAACCGUGCUUUUCUCCGAUCAACUGCUCCGGAGUGGAUCGCUGUCUUUGCCCAUUUCUUAUCUUCCAUUCAUGAGGAGAAGAGGACGAUCGCUGAUGUAAACACAGUUGAGAGAAGCGCUGUCUCCCUUCACAGCUGGUGUCCGGCUCUCGGUGUGUCUGGGGUGGAUAGGGCAGCGCAGCCAGGUGCGAUGGCAGCGCCCUCUUAUGUUCAGCCUGACCACUGGGAUCAAGCGGCGCAUCAACUCUCACACGAGCCGAGCGCCUGCGGACCAACUGCCCUGCGCAAAAAAAAAAAAGAAAAGAAAAAAAAAAGCGCACCUUUCGCCUCUCUGACUGUAAUAUGUUUAACUGCCUCAUAUGGAAAGGA